rnacentral:rRNA from 1 species
CCUACGGGAGGCAGCAGUGGGGAAUAUUGCACAAUGGGGGAAACCCUGAUGCAGCGACGCCGCGUGAGUGAAGAAGUAUUUCGGUAUGUAAAGCUCUAUCAGCAGGGAAGAAGCAAGACGGUACCUGACUAAGAAGCCCCGGCUAACUACGUGCCAGCAGCCGCGGUAAUACGUAGGGGGCAAGCGUUAUCCGGAUUUACUGGGUGUAAAGGGAGCGUAGACGGUAUGGCAAGUCUGAAGUGAAAGCCCAGGGCUUAACCCUGGGACUGCUUUGGAAACUGUAUGGCUGGAGUGCAGGAGAGGUAAGUGGAAUUCCUAGUGUAGCGGUGAAAUGCGUAGAUAUUAGGAGGAACACCAGUGGCGAAGGCGGCUUACUGGACUGUAACUGACGUUGAGGCUCGAAAGCGUGGGGAGCAAACAGGAUUAGAUACCCUUGUAGUC